UUAGAGUUUGAUCCUGGCUCAGGAUGAACGCUAGCGGCAGGCUUAAUACAUGCAAGUCGAGGGGCAGCGCAAUGUAGCAAUACAUGGGCGGCGACCGGCAAACGGGUGCGGAACACGUACGCAACCUACCCAUAACUGAUGAAUAGCCCUCCGAAAGGAGGAUUAAUACAUCGUAACUUAAUGAAGUGGCAUCACUUUAUUAAUAUAGCUCCGGCGGUUUUGGAUGGGCGUGCGCCUGAUUAGGUAGUUGGCGGGGUAAUGGCCCACCAAGCCUGCGAUCAGUAACUGGUGUGAGAGCACGACCAGUCACACGGGCACUGAGACACGGGCCCGACUCCUACGGGAGGCAGCAGUAAGGAAUAUUGGUCAAUGGACGCAAGUCUGAACCAGCCAUGCCGCGUGAAGGAUGAAGGUCCUCUGGAUUGUAAACUUCUUUUAUAUGGGACGAAACCUCUUAUUCUUAAGAGACUGACGGUACCAUAGGAAUAAGCACCGGCUAACUCCGUGCCAGCAGCCGCGGUAAUACGGAGGGUGCAAGCGUUAUCCGGAUUCACUGGGUUUAAAGGGAGCGUAGGAGGGCAGGUAAGUCAGUGGUGGAAUCUUCGAGCUUAACUCGGAAACUGCCGUUGAUACUAUCUGUCUUGAAUACCGUGGAGAUGAGCGGAAUAUGUCAUGUAGCGGUGAAAUGCUUAGAUAUGACAUAGAACACCAAUUGCGAAGGCAGCUCGUUACACGAAUAUUGACUCUGAGGCUCGAAAGCGUGGGGAUCAAACAGGAUUAGAUACCCGCGUAGUC
rnacentral:rRNA from 1 species